CCUACGGGAGGCAGCAGUGAGGAAUAUUGGUCAAUGGACGCAAGUCUGAACCAGCCAUGCCGCGUGCAGGACGAAGGCUCUAUGCAUUGUAAACUUCUUUUGUACAAGGGUAAACUCAGGUACGCGUGUCUGUCUGAACGUAUCUUACGAAUAAGUAUCGGCUAACUCCGUGCCAGCAGCCGCGGUAAUACGGAGGAUUCCAGCGUUAUCCGGAUUUAUUGGGUUUAAAGGGUGCGUAGGCGGUAGGGUAAGUUAGCGGUGAAAUCCCGCGGCUAAACGUGGGAAUUGCCGUUGAUACUGGUGGGCUAGAGAGCAGUUGCGGUAGGAGGAAUGUAUGGUGUAGCGGUGAAAUGCUUAGAGAUCACACAGAACACCGAUUGCGAAGGCAGCUCACCAAGCCACGGUUGACGCUGAGGCACGAAAGCGUGGGGAGCAAACAGGAUUAGAUACCCUGGUAGUC
rnacentral:rRNA from 1 species